CGCGGGCACAGGGCUGGCCGCCUCUCCUCAAGCCGUGGCCGGGCGGGAGCGUGGCACCGGCGCCCCGCGGGUCACUUGGGCUGAACCAAAGAGAGGAAACACCAAAACAGACGAGGAGCCAAAGGGAUCGCGGAUGACCGACCUGUGCAGCCAGCCUCGCGCUCGCACUUCCUCCCCCUUCUUUCUUAGGAAAUACAUUUUUCCAUCUGUUGCUUAUUGAUACUGUUUACACGUUGGGCCUGAUCCGGAGCCAGGCAGAGAGGACGAGGAGGCAGAGCCGGGGCGCGGGGCACGGACCCCGUGGGUGCGAGGGGCCCCUGGGGGGGCCUGAGCCGGCUGGGGGAGGGGGUGUCACUAACACAUGUCUUGGGAACCGUCCCCAAGUGUGGAAACCCAUGGAUCCUAUGGAUUUGGUUUCUUCCCACAGUUUUCUGUAGGUUUAGUGUGGCCCGGCACCCUGUUCUCCCGCGUCUAGAGCAGACCUCGGUGCCGCCGCGGGUCCACAUGCCGCGGCUCUGGGCUGCGGCUCCCGGGCACCCGCCUGAGCAGAGGGCCGAGGGGCCCCAGCAGCCUGAGUUUACCGUCUGCCCACCUCCCUCCACCCGGCAGGCGCUUGGGCCCCUGGGGGCCGUUACACACGCACUGUGGGUGUUUUUAAGUGAAUUGUUUAGUAGGCUUCUAGGAAGAGUUGAAUUUAUAGCAUUUCCAACCUAAGCAAUGUUGAGUGCCUGGGCUCCCCGAAUUUGCUCUGGGUUCCAGAGUGCUCUGUACAAGACCGCCGUUGGGACGGCCCACGGGGGGCUGUGUGCUGGCUGCUGCAGCUGUGAGCUGUCAGCACGGCACCGCCCAGGGGAGCGUGACGGUGGGUGUGCCCCUGGGACGUUGGUUCUGGGGUCGGGGUGUGAACAGAACCAGACAGGAGCUUGGGGAGCGUCUGCAUGGGGCGUGGGUGCUCCUGCCUUUGGGGGCUCGUCGUUGACCCCUGUGCUCAGCCUGCUGGCGGGGCCGCCAUGACAGCCUUAGCGCCUGGCCCCGGCACUCCCCACGCCCCUGUCUGGAGGUGGAGACGCGCCCUGCUGGCUGAUACUGGUGCCUGAGGGCAUUUCAGGUGGCGGACUGGUAGUCUGGGGCAGGGCCAGUCAAGGUGGGGGCCGGGAUGCUCACUGGCAGGGCCAUCCGUGGUCCAUCUGCACGUCUUAUUUUGGAUGCAGGAGGGAGCGCAGGCAGGGCUCCCCUGAAGGCCUGGAGCCGUCUCCAGCAGGGCCUCAAGGCCCGUCCGAGCCGUUGAGUGGCAGGUCCCCUUAGACCUGUUCUGUUGCCUGCUGAGCACCCUUCUCUGGGAGAAGGGGAGGGGGCUCCAGAGACAAGCCACUGCCCCACUUUACGCUUUGAAGGGAACUGGGUUUUGUUCGUCCGUCCUUCCACCGUCAGGUGCCCCAGACCUAGCGGAGUGGGCCUCGCCCCCCUGAGUCAAGCCACCGAGGUGGUCUUUUUCUGUUUUCUUUUCUGUUGCAUACUUGUUUGCUGUUGUCAUGGGUCAGCUGAUUUCAGCCUGAUGUUUACUUGCGGGUGUACGUCCUCUUCGUCCGGAGUCCUGAUGCCUGCGGCGGUGUGACCCCCACGGGGUGGGCGCCGCCUGUCCUGGCCUGGCCUGUCCUGUCGGUCUGCACCAGCUCAGAGCCUAUGAGAAACCACGUGGCUGAUAAAACCACGUCUUGCCCUUGGAGCCUUUGUCGCAGUCGACCCUGCCGGCCCCCUUUGAAGCCGCUGCCCUGCCCUCAGACCGCAGGGGUGCUGGAGGGAAGUGUGCGUCAGAGCCGGAGAAGCAGAAACCACAGCUUCGGAAGUAACCGCGGCCCCUCCCUCCUUCCGCCGGGGCCGGGGGCAGACACCUGUGCCUGGCAGGGCUCCUGGGGCUCUGUCAGUGCGGCCGCUCCCCUGCCGUCCCCUGGGGCGGGACCGCGGGCGGCUUCUGGGGAGCAGGACUGGGCUGGGUUUUCUCACGGGUGCCGCGCCGGCUCGGAGGCAGCCUGGGGAAGGGAAGCAUCCGGGUUCGACUUCGGCUGUUGUUUUGCAAUGUCUCACUGUCUGCACUGCUCUGAGGCCCUCCGAGCUGCACCUGCUGUUCACCCCGCCCCCUGCCCACCGCAGGGACCACACACGACUUCUCAUCAUGGGUGACCAGCCCCAGAGGACCUGCUGAAGCUGUGAGCCUUGGAGAGCACUUCGCAGACCCAGGCCAGGGAUCGUGUCCCCAGGGUCCGGCUCAGCACCCAGCAGCCCCAUGGCCACCAAGGAGCUCUCUCUGGCCAGGCUGUGUGCCCAGGUGGACCUGUACCUGGGCUGCCCCCGCUGUACUCAGCGCCUCAAUGAGAGCACCUACGUCCUGCGGAGGGUGGAGCACAGCUGUCCUGAAGAGAUCCUGCUGGCCCGCUUCAAGCGAGCCCCCAAGAGCCGGGUCUGGCGCAAGGUGGACCGGCGGCCCAGCUUCCCACGGCCUGCCCGCUAUGAAGUCUGCUGGUACUACACCCCGGGGCUCGGCUGCCAGCGCCACCGCAACCAGUGUACCUUUGCCCGAAGCCUGGAGGAGGCCCUGGUCUGGACCUUCGAGCGUGAGCACAAUGUCCGGCGUCUGUGGCUCAAGACUGAGCUGCAGGGCGGCCGGGCCCAGGGCCAGCUGCGCAGCCCAGCCGAUGCCAUCUGUGCCGAGUAUGGCGGCCAGUUCCAGCUGCUCUGCUCCCACUGUUUCCGGUGCUGUCCUCCGCGUCUCUGCCCGGUGGACCCCCAGGGGCGCUGCCCCAGGCAUGGCGCCUGCCCUUCGAUCCUGACCCACGUGAGCACCGAGGGCCGCCGCAAGCAGCAGGUUGUGGAGGUGCGGCCCCAGCCCCAGUACGGCCAGCCCCUGGCCUACUGCACGUACGUGGGGCGCGGGCGGCCGUGCCGGCAUGGGGCAUCCCGCUGCCAGUACGCGCACAGCGCGGUGGAGAUGGCCGUGUGGGAGGCUGAGCAGCUGGAUGGGCUCCAGCGGCGGGACCUGCUCUCGCCCACUGCCGCCAGAGGGGAUGAGCGCACCAUCCCCCAUGGCCAGCCCCCCGCAGUCAGGCUGUACUGCCACGCCUGUCUGGUCACCUGCCACUCCCAGGAGGCCUUUGAGAACCACUGCUCAUCUCUGGAGCAUGCACAGAUGGUGGCCUUGGACCAGGCGGAGGCCUGGGAACACCGCAGCCCACCCACGGGGCUCUCCACCUUUGAGCUCUGCCCAAAGAUGGAGGAGGUCCCGGUUCCCACCCUGCCCUGCCCCCAGGCCUGGAGCCCACCCUGCCUCCCGCCACAGGCCAGUAUCGGGCUGAGAGUGCUUACGCCCGCUCUGCUUGCUGGCCUCCCAUUUCCCAGACCCACCCUCUGUGAGUACGGGGACGUCUGCACCAAGGCGCAUUCCGAGCAGGAGCUGCAGGAGUGGAUCCAGCGGUCACAGACCCUAAAGCUGCGGGAGCGGGCCGCCUGGCAGGAAGGGCUGGUGUCUUACCAGGCGCGGCUGCUGGCUGAGUACCAGCGCAGCAGAAGCGAGGUCCUGGUGCUGGCUGAGAACGUCGAGGGCGUGUCCAUCACCUGCCCCCAGCCCUUGGUGCAUCAGGCCCGUGAGAGGAAAACUCAGCUCAGCUGGAUAUUCGACAUCCAGUCUGAGGAGCCCCUGCUUCACGUGGCCCUGCUCAAGCAGGAGCUGGGAGCAGACUUCUCGCUGGUGGCCCCCUGCCUUCCUCCGGGCCAGCUCUAUGCGAAGGGGGAGCGCUUCCGUGCGCGUGCCUCCCCAGCCAAGUUCCAGGUGGAGGUGCGCGUGCAGAGCACCUCCUUCGGCUCCUUCGAGCAGUGGGUGGUCUUCGACUUCGGCCGCAGGCCAGUGCUCCUGCGGAAGCUGGGGCUGCGGCUGGGCCAGGUGCGCUGCCCGGGGCUCCGGGGCACGCGGGCGCACGGCCACCCCGAGGAGCUGGAGCGCUGGCACACGGGCAACCGCCACGUGGUGCCUGGUGUGGAGCGCACGGCCGAGCAGGUGGCCCUGCUGGCGAAGUACAAGGUGCCCGCCCUGGCGCUGGACUUCAGUCACGCAGGCCCCGCCCCGGGUCCCGUCUCCCGCGACAACUACCGGCAGCGGAUGCACCACUUUCUCCAUGAGGAGGAAGCUACUCAGCAGCAGCUGGUGGCUAAGCUGAACUUCCGGGGCCCAGUGUCCCUGAGGGCGAUGCUGCAGACGCCGGCCCUGGGCAUGCUCUUCCCGCCGUCAGGAGCCCUCUAUGCCGAGGUCCCCACCCCCUCGUCUCUGAUGCCAGACACAGACGAGGGCUUUCUGCUGGGCCGGGCGGUCAGCACAGCCCUUGUGGCCCCUGUCCCCGCACCUGACCACACGGUGUUUGAGGUGCGGCUAGAAACCCGGGCCAGCUCGGAGCAGGCGCUGUGGCUGCUGCUGCCUGCCCGCUGCUGCUCGGCCCUGGGGCUGCGGCCGGAAACCAGCCCCGUCCUGGAGGUCCAGUUCCAGAUUGACCCGCUGACCUUCCGCUACUGGCACCAGGCAGUGGACGUGCUGCCCGAGGAGCGCCUGGUGGUGCCUGACCUGCCGACCUGCGACGUGCCCCGUCCUCUGCCCACCCCACCCACAAUGCAGGGCAACCACAAGCAGAAGUUGGCUGUGGCCUUCAUUGCAGGCAGGAGCCCCGGGGGCACGCGGCCCAUCGCCCCGCUGCUCAUCUACGGCCCUUUUGGCACAGGCAAGACCUACACGCUGGCUAUGGCCUCGCUGGAGGUCAUCCGGCAGCCCCACACCAGGGUCCUCAUCUGCACACACACCAACAGUGCGGCCGACAUCUACAUCGAGGAGCAUUUCCAUCGCUACGUCAGCAGCGGCCACCCCGAGGCCACUCCGCUGCGGGUCAUGUACACGGACCGCCCGCCCAGCCAGACAGACGCGGCCACGCUGCAGUACUGCCUGCUGACCGGGGACCGCCGGGCCUUCCGGCCCCCGACACGGGCGGAGCUGGAGCAGCACCGCAUCGUGGUCACCACCACCUCCCAGGCCCGCGAGCUCAGGGUGCCGGCCGGCUUCUUCUCGCACAUCCUCAUCGACGAGGCCGCGCAAAUGCUGGAGUGCGAGGCGCUCACCCCGCUGCGCUACGCCUCGCCCAGCACCCGCGUGGUGUUGGCGGGGGACCACAUGCAGGUCACGCCCAAGCUCUUCAGCGUGGCCCGCGCGCAGGCCGCGGCCCACACCCUGCUGUACCGCCUCUUCCAGCACUACCAGCAGGAGGCGCACGAGGUGGCCCGGCACAGCCGGGUGGUCUUCCACGAGAACUACCGCUCCACCGAGGCCAUCCUCAGCUUCGUCUCACGGCACUUCUACGUGGCCAAGGGCAGCCCCAUCCACGCCAGCGGCGAGGUUCCUCGCCACCCUAAGCACUACCCGCUCAUGUUCUGCCACGUGGCGGGCAGCCCCGAGCGCGACAUGUCUCGCACGUCCUGGCUGAACGCGGCGGAGAUCGUCCAGGUCGCCGAGAAGGUGCAGGAGAUCUACCAGAGCUGGCCCCCCUGCUGGGGCGGCCGGGAGCAGAGGAGCAUUUGUGCCGUGUCCCACGGUGCCCAGGUGAGUGCGCUGAGGCAGGAGCUGAGGAGGAGGGACCUGGGCCAGGUGUCUGUGGGCAGCUUCGAGAUCCUGCCAGGGCGGGAGUUCCGGGUGGUGGUGCUGAGUACCGUGCACAACCACGACAGCCUGCUGAGCUCGGGGGCGCCCGCCCUGGGGUUCUUCACCGACGCCCGUGUGCUCAACACCGUCAUGACCCGCGCCCAGUCCCAGGUGGUGGCUGUGGGCGACGCCGUGGCCCUCUGCUCCUUCGGGGCCUGCAGCAAGCUCUGGAAGAGCUUCAUUCGUGAGUGCGUGAGGCACCACAGCAUCUCCCCCAAGACUCUGUCCCUGGAGCACAUCGAACAGAGCGUGGUCCGCAGGCAGCGCUGGGCCCUCCGAGCGGAGAGAUCUGUGGCAGCCGGGGCCCAGGACACUGUCCCGGAGGAGGGGGCAGCAGGGGCUCCAGCCACAGAGCACGCAGCCACGGAGAAGGUGCGGCCAGGGCCCAAGGCUGAAGGGAGUACGUCCCUGUCCAAGACCUCGGCUGCGGGAGACGAAGCCACGCGGAGGACAGAGGCUGGGGACGCAGCGUUAGGGUCUGUGGCCGGGGGCUGCCCAGCGGCGGGGGACCCUGCCACGGUGCACACGGAGGCAGAGGACACAACGCCAGCAGGGAACUCGUCAGUGGGGGACGCGGCCCCCGGGAAGGCGGUGGCAGGGCUGACGGCCAUGGAGAACGGGGACGCCGAGGACCCCGAGGACUCGGAGUCGGACUUCUGGCCUUCCGACACGGAGCUCAACGCUGACGACUCCAUCCUGCAGGAGCUCCUGGAUGAGGCCCGGAACGUGAUGGUGACCGUCCGGGAAGACGGGCUGCUGGACACCGUCGCCAGGCCCGAGUCCCCACGCCAGGCCCGGCAGUACAUGAACUUGCCGCGGGCCACACUGCGGAGACGGCUGUGCUCGGAGCCUGAGCUGUACCGCCGCUGCACCUUCCUGCAGGAGACCUUCGACCGCGCCACGGCCGUGCCGCUGGACGACGUGGAUUCCGGCCCCAUCCAGAUCAGGGGCCGCUUGCGCUGUGGGAUGGCCUUCAGCGGGGACGAGGUGCUGGUGAAGGUCCUGGGCGCGGACGGAGGCUCCGCGGGGAGGCUGCAGGGCCAAGUGAUGGGCGUGUUCAAGAGGAAGCGCCGAGAGCUGGUGUUCGUGUGCCGCAUGGAUGAGUGGGACCCUCGCAUCAUGACCCCCAUCGACGGCUCUGUGACGAAGAUCUUCGUGGCCGAGCUGAAGGACCCGCUGCAGGUGCCCGUCCACCGCGUCCAGCAGGGCCGCGUGCAGCGGGUGGGGUACGAGCAGCUCACCGCCGAGGACCGCGGCAGCCGCCUCUUCUGGGUGCGCAUUGUCCUGUGGCGGCAGCGUUUCUACUACCCGCUGGGCAUCGUCCUGGAGGUGCUGCCCGAGGCCACCACCUGGGAGCAGGGCCUCCGCAUCCUGGACCUGGAGCACGGCCUGAGGAAGCCCUCGUUGGAGCCGGCGUGUGUCGGCAAGGCGCUGCAGAAGUACCGGGCGGAGCUUGGCCGGGCGCCCGACUGCCGGGAGGACUGCCGCGGCUUCCUGACCUUCACCGUGGACCCCCGGGGCGCCCGCUACCUGGAUGAUGCCCUCAGCGUUCGAGAUCUGGGCUCCAGGUACGAGGUGGCCGUGCACAUUGCUGACGUGGCCAGCUCUGUCCCCAGGGACGGGCCUCUGGACCUGGAGGCCCGCAGACAGGGCGUCACGUUCUACGCCCCUGACCGGGAGCCCGUGCCUAUGCUGCCUGCCAGCCUCUGCCAGGACGCGUUCAGCCUCCUGCCGGGCCAGGACCGCUUGGCCAUCUCCCUCUUCCUCACCAUCGAGAAGGGCAGUGACCAGCUCAAAAGCCUGCGCUUUGCGCCUUCUGUGAUCUGCUCUGACCGCCAGCUGUCCUACGAGGAAGCUGAGCAUGUGAUCAAGAGGCACCCGGGUGCCGGCCGUGAGCUGCCAGCCCGCCUGGACUCCGUGGACGCCUGUGUCGUGGCCGCGUGCCACCUCUCCCGGGUGCUGCGCCGGGGCCGCCUGCGGACCGACUCCCACUACGAGCAGCCCAGCGAGGACUGUGUGCUGGGCUUCCGUGCGGCCCACGUCAUGGUCAAGGAGUACAUGAUCCAGUUCAACAGCCUGGUGGCCGAGCUCCUGGUGAGCAGUGAGCCCACGCGGACCGUCACUCCGCUGCGGUGGCAGCCCACGCCCAGCGAGCGCCAGCUCGGAGCCCUGUGUGAGAAGCACAGGGAGCUGGUCCCGCUGUCGCUGCACCUGCGCCACCACCUGGGGGGCCGCGGGGCCCCCGUCGGGCAGGUCUGCCUCUUGGCCUCACUGUGGAGACACCUGCAGUGUGCAGCGAGCACCGGGGACGGCGACUGGCUGGCGGACCUCAUCACCACGGACGACAUGCACCCCGCUCUGGCUCCCGUGGGCCUUGACUUCCGCAAGGCCCUGGGCCGCUCGGUGUUUGGCCGCUCCCGCCAAGGGGAACGGCAGGCGGCCGGCCACUACUCGCUGCAGGUGGACCGGUACACGUGGGCGACCUCGCCCAUCCGCAGGUACCUGGACGUGGUGCUGCAGCGGCAGAUCCUGCUGGCGCUGGGCCACGGGGGCUCCCCCUACUCAGCCAGGGACAUCGACGGGCUGUGCCAGGAGUUCAGCUGCCAGCACGGGCGCGCCCAGAGCUACCAGCGCCAGGCCCGGAGCCUGCAUCUGGGGGCGCAGCUCAGAGUCCGGCCGCAGAGCAAGCUGGGCUUCGUGGUGGGCGUGGAGGCGGGCGCCCGCUGCUUCCGGCUGCUCUUCCCCGCCGACCCCGAGACCCUGCCUGACCCCUGCCCCGUGCAUUACCGCUCCCUGCAGCUGGCUGAGCACCCCAGUGACCUGGAGCGGCGGCCGGGCCUGCGGCUGGCAUGGCGGCGACGCAUCUACUCCGUGCAGGCAGACAGGCCCUGCUCCCCGCGGCCCGGCGCCCUGUUGGACCCACACACCCGGUGGGUGGACGCCACCCUGUGGCAGCAGCUGCUGCAGCUGGUGCAGGAGGAGCGGUGGCCCGAGGCGGCCGCCCUAGUGCGGGAGCGCGGUGCCUCGGAGCCCCGGCGGCAGGCUCUGGGGCACGUGAGGCAGAGCCGCUGUGGCCACUUCGUGGAGGUGUCCCGGGAGCUGGGCAGCGGGCACACGCUGCAGGUGCAGCUCAGUGCCACCCUGCAGCGGGGCUUCCUCGUGCCAAGUCUGCAGCUGUGCACCGUGGCGCCCGGCCUCACCCUCUGCCUGGAGCACAUGGAGCGGCCCGGCGACUGCUUCCUGGACCAGACACCCCAGGCGGCGCGGGACCGCUGUCUCGACGUGGGCGAGUACUCCCGCGUGUGGGGGCCGUUCUGCUCCCUGGAGUCGGCCACCGGCGCGGUCUCGGAGAGUGACCCCGUCACGCUGCAGCACGUGAGCGUAUCCUGGGAUGCGAAGCGGGUGGCGCAGGGGCAGCUGCGAGGCUCCUUCUGCCUGGAACCUUCCUUCCUCAGUGAGCGCUGCACUGACCUCAGCUUCGGCCCCUGGUACCUCUGCAUCCGGCUCGAGGGGCUGCCGGCCGUGCCCGCGGCAGGGGAGCUGCGCCCCCCAGCUGGCCCUGGCCAGCCUCACCUGGCGGCCCCGCCCUGCGGGCCCCCCCUGAGCAUCGACCCUGACACGUACACAUGGGUGGCCCACGGGCUGACGACACACUGGGACGCGGAGGAGGGCCGGGCCGACCGGCAGGAGAUCCCCAGGCAGGUGCACUUCUUCGUCCAGCACAUGGCUGUGGAGAAGGUUCCAGAAGAGGUGCUGAGACCUGGCACCCAGUUCACCAUUGAGGUGUUGCCCAAGCAGCUUCCCGACAUUCGCAAGGAAGAAGCCGUGCGUAGGCUGGAGAGUGCAUCCCCGCUGGUCGUCAGCAUUGCCCUGGGCCAGCCCAUCCCUCCGUCCCGCCACCUUCCUCCCCAGCAGACCCACCACAGAGGGACGUACGGCAGGCUUCUGGAGAAACAGACGUUCGACCUCCCCGGGGGCGGCCACACGCUGAACUCCAGCCAGAACCGGGCUGUCAGGGCCGCUCUGCGGAAGAGGUUCACGGUGAUCCAGGGCCCGCCAGGCACGGGGAAGACGGUGGUGGGUUUCCACAUUGUGUUCUGGUUUCACAAGUCAAACGAGGAGCAGGCGAUGGCCUGGGGUGCCCCCGGCGAGAAGCCCGUAGGGGCCCCCUGCAUCUUGUACUGCGGCCCCUCUAACAAGUCGGUGGAUGUCCUGGCAGGACUGCUGCUGAGCAGGAGAGCAGAGCUGAAGCCCCUGCGCGUGUACAGUGAGCAGGCCGAGGCCACCGAAUUCCCGGUGCCGGGUGUGGGCAGCAGCGGCCUGCCCAAGAAGACCCCUCGGGAGGGGAGGCCCAACCAGACCCUCAGGAGCAUCACCCUGCACCACAGGAUCCGGCAGCCCUCCAACCCCUACGCACCGGACAUCAGGGAAUUCGAUGCCCGGCUGCAGAAAGGGGAGGUCUUUUCCAAGGACGAUCUCACGCGGUACAAGCUGGUCCUGGGGAAGGCGCGGAAGUUCGAGCUGGAGCAGCACGGGGUCAUCCUGUGCACGUGCUCGUGUGCGGCCUCGAGGAGCCUCAAGAAGCUGGCCGUCCGGCAGAUCCUCGUUGAUGAGGCGGGCAUGGCCACCGAGCCUGAGACCCUCAUCCCCCUGGUGACCUUCUCGCAGGCGGAGAAGGUGGUUCUUCUUGGGGACCACAAGCAGCUGCGGCCUGUGGUCAAGAAUGAGCAGCUGCAAAAUCUGGGGCUGGAUCGGUCUCUCUUCGAGAGGUACCACCUGGACGCCCACCUGCUGGACACACAGUACCGCAUGCACGAGGGCAUCUGUGCCUUCCCCUCCACGGAGUUCUACGAGAAGAGGCUGAAAACCUGGCGCGGCCUGAGGCGGCCACCCAGCAUCCUGGGCCACGUGGGCAAGGAGAGCUGCUCCGUCAUCUUCGGCUAUGUGCAGGGCCAUGAGCAGAGCCUGCUGGUGUCCACGGAUGAAGGGAAUGAAAACUCCAAGGCCAACCCGGAAGAGGUGGCAGAGGUGGUGAGCGUCACUGAGACUUUCCCUGGUCCGCAUUGCCAAGCAGCUGACCCUGGGCAGGACGGUGGACCCCAAAGAUGUGGCCAUUCUCACUCCCUACAAUGCUCAGGCUGCCGAGAUCAGCAAGACUCUUGGGCGAGAGGGUGUCACCGGAGUGACCGUGUGCUCCAUCACCAAGAGCCAGGGAAGCGAGUGGCGCUAUGUGCUGGUCAGCACCGUCCGCACGUGCCCGGAGAGUGACCUGGACCAGCGGCCGACCAAGAGCUGGCUGAAGAAGUUCCUGGGCUUUGUCGUGGACCCCAAUCAAGUGAACGUGGCCAUCACCCGGGCUAAGGAGGGACUCUGCCUCAUCGGAGACCACCGCCUCCUGCGUUGUUGCCCUCUCUGGCGGAGGUUCCUGGACUUCUGUGAGGACCAGCGGACCCUCGUGCCCGCCAGCCAGGUGCGAGUUCGGAGGAGGCCAGCAGUGUCUCCCUGAACAGCCCACUCUGCCUGCCCACUGCCCUCGGGCUGCCAGGGUUCCCAGGGCUGCGAGAAGUCCCGAGCCCUCUUCUGUGGGCUGCCUUGUCAGGCCCCACUCAGCAGAACCCACGUGCCUUCAGUGGGCACUGCCGGCCACCCCACCUACCUGACUGGGUCUCUGCUGCGGUUCUGAGCAAUAGUCCCCUUCUGGAGUCUCGGCCUCGCCCCGCCCCACCAGUGUGUGCCUACACUUGGGAGGAGGAAUCCCAACUCUCCCUGCUGUGCUGCUUUUCUUGGGACAUUUGGUGACAGGGAACAUCUCAGGGGUGUGGGAUGGGGGGAGAGUCCUCUGGACCUUCUGGUGGUGCUGGGAAGGUUUAAGGUGAAGGAAAUCCCAGUGGGGCUACUCUUUGGUCUUCGGAUGCCAUCCCUGACCCCAUUGCGCGCUGGCUGUGGAGGUCAGCCUUCUUUUCUUCUUUCUUUUUUUCUUUCUUUUUUUUCAAGUAGGCUCCAUGCCCAGUGUGGGGCUUGAACUCAUGGCCCUGAGAUUAAGAGUUGCCUGUUUUACCAACUGAGCCAGCCAGGACCCCCUAUUUUCUAUUUUUAAAUAAACCAAACGCCAGUGUCUUUUUUACUGGAACAAGUUCCUUAGCCCAAGCUUAGGCAAAGAGAACUCCCUGGAAGAGAGGCCUUUUCUCUGUCCCCACAGCCCUGUCUAACUGGGACCCACAGCCCUGUGUCCUUCACGGGCCAUCUGCCCUUGCAGGAGGAAGAGCAGACCAGAACCAGAUGCCCACACAGCCUUGCCUGGACCAUGGGUGUGUGGGUGGGGACUAGGAUUGAGGUGCCCCUGGAUGGGCAGCCUUGUGCCUUCACCUGGAGCUCUGCCUCCCCUUUGCAACCUCAAGCCUGCCCCCAGGUCAGGGCUUGGGGACAGCCUGUCCUGUCUAUCUUUGCAAGGUUGAGGAACUUCAGCUGUCCCUCAGGGUGCAUUUAUGUUCUGCCUGCUCUGGAAACUCUUGCCUUGAUAACACCUCACCUCAGCACCUCCCCAGCCCCCCAGCUCCCACCCCCACCCCGCCCCGAGGCAGUCCUGACCCAGAGUCUCUGCACUUCCACCAUCUCCAUGGCCUGGGGGAUACGAAAUACAAGCUGCUUAUACUAGGAGGGGCUUGCCCCGCUCUGUGGCCUUGCUGAAGAAUCCUCUGCGGGGGAGAGGGGGGUGAUGUUUUCUACAAAUCAAUUUCUACAUUCCAAUUUUUAUAUCUUUUCUUGGACUCUGUGUUAUACGACUCAAUAAUAAUUUUAUUAUAAAGGCCACUCUGAAUGUUUUUCUCA